rnacentral:rRNA from 1 species
UACGUAGGUGGCUAGCGUUGUUCGGAAUUACUGGGCGUAAAGCGCGCGUAGGCGGUGAUCUUUGUCAGAGGUGAAAGCCCGGGGCUCAACUCCGGAAUUGCCUUUGAAACGGGAUUGCUUGAGUCCGAGAGAGGAUGGCGGAAUUCCUAGUGUAGAGGUGAAAUUCGUAGAUAUUAGGAAGAACACCGGUGGCGAAGGCGGCCAUCUGGCUCGGUACUGACGCUCAGGCGCGAAAGCGUGGGGAGCAAACAGG